rnacentral:rRNA from 1 species
UACAGAGGUCUCAAGCGUUGUUCGGAUUCAUUGGGCGUAAAGGGUGCGUAGGCGGCGCGUUAAGUCGGGUGUGAAAUCUCGGAGCUUAACUCCGAAACUGCAUUCGAUACUACCGUGCUUGAGGACUGGAGAGGAGACUGGAAUUUACGGUGUAGCGGUGAAAUGCGUAGAUAUCGUAAGGAAGACCAGUGGCGAAGGCGGGUCUCUGGACAGUUCCUGACGCUGAGGCACGAAGGCCAGGGGAGCAAACGGG